GAUAUAUGGUGCUAUUAUCAACAAAUGGAAUCAUAUCCAUCCAGAUGCACUAAUCCUCCAAUACUUGGCUCCUCGGGAAAGAUUGUAUGUGACAUUGGGCAGUGAUGAAGAUGUGGAGAAUAUGGUUGCAUUGCAUCUGAUAAUGAAGAUGAGUGUGGUCGACAUUGUCGUGAUCCGCAAAGAUGAAGCUAAUUCGCGUGGAAAGAGGGUUCGCACCGAUGGCUGGGAGGACAAGAUGGAGGAGAGCUUACAUGAUUGCCCAUUAUGUUAUUCAAGUGAUUGAAGUGAAUGAAAACUGGCUGUUUGUACUUUAUUAUUAUGUGAUUUGUACUAUGUUGAUUUGAACUUUGUACUAUGUUUCAAUUUGCACUAUGUUUUUGCUAUUUGUAGUUUGUACUAUGUAUUAGGUACUCUGUUCAUUGAUGGUUUAUCAUUUUCAGUCUAAUGGUACUAUUUUUAUUUACACAUGGUAUUGGAUA